GAUAACCACUACACUACGGAAACUGAAUGAGUGCAAUACUAAGGGCGUGACUCACCUUGGCUGGGUGGGGCAUUUAUCGCUCUCAGAACCUAAUGAAAUCAGAAAUGACUUUGUCCAUUAAUUAAGCAACAAGGCUUGAGAACCUGGGAAUUAUCGUGUGAAUAACUCCUAAAUAAGGGCUGAUUCACCGUAGGGAUGGUUUGGCUGGGCAGCCGGCUCUUGGAAGAGUCUUGGUGGUUCCAAACUUCUUCCAUUUAAGAAUGAUGGAAGCCACUGUGUUCUUGGGUACCUUCAAUGCUGCAGAAAUGUUUUGGUGCCUUUCCCCACAUCUGUGCCUCGACACAAUCCUGUCUCGGAGCUCUAGGGACAAUUCCUUCGACCUCAUGGCUUGGUUUAUGCUCUGACGUGCACUGUCAACUGUGGAACCUUACGUAGACAGACAGCUGUGUGCCUUUCCAAAUCAUGACCAAUCAAUUGAAUUUACCACAGGUGGACUCCAAUCAAGUUGUAGAAACAUCUCAAGGAUGAUCAAUGGAAACAGGAUGGACCUGAGCUCAACUUCCAGCCUCAUAGCAAAGGGUCUGAAAACGUGGACUCCAAUCAAGUUGUAGAAACAUCUCAAGGAUGAUCAAUGGAAACAGGAUGGACCUGAGCUCAACUUCCAGCCUCAUAGCAAAGGGUCUGAAAACGUGGACUCCAAUCAAGUUGUAGAAACAUCUCAAGGAUGAUCAAUGGAAACAGGAUGGACCUGAGCUCAACUUCCAGCCUCAUAGCAAAGGGUCUGAAAACGUGGACUCCAAUCAAGUUGUAGAAACAUCUCAAGGAUGAUCAAUGGAAACAGGAUGGACCUGAGCUCAAUUUCCAGCCUCAUAGCAAAGGGUCU